rnacentral:rRNA from 1 species
GACGAACGCUGGCGGCGUGCUUAACACAUGCAAGUCGAGCGGCAACACGGUCUUCGGACUGGUGGCGAGCGGCGGACGGCUGAGUAACGCGUAGGAACGUGCCCCAAAGUGAGGGAUAAGCAUCAGAAAUGGUGUCUAAUACCGCAUGUGGUCUCCGGAUCAAAGCCUUCGGGCGCUAUGGGAACGGCCUGCGUCUGAUUAGCUAGUUGGUGAGGUAACGGCUCACCAAGGCGACGAUCAGUAGCUGGUCUGAGAGGAUGACCAGCCAGACUGGGACCGAGACACGGCCCAGACUCCUACGGUAGGCAGCAGUAGGGAAUCUUCCACAAUGGGCGAAAGCCUGAUGGAGCAACGCCGCGUGCAGGAUGAAUGCCUUCGGGUUGUAAACUGCUUUUGUUAGUGACGAUUAUGACGGUAACUAGCGAAUAAGGAUCGGCUAACUCCGUGCCAGCAGCCGCUGUAA